rnacentral:lncRNA from 1 species
UUAAGUCAGGAAACAAAAAAAGGGAACUGGGUGGCUGUGAAAGGGUGGGGUUUGCUCAGACUGUCCUUCCUCUCUGGACUGUAAGAAUAUGUCUCCAGGGCCAGUGUCUUCUGAGAUCGAGUCACACCUUCAAAGUCCUGGCAUCUCAAUGCAUCUGGAAAGCUACCUGCAUUAAGUCAGGACUGAGCACCCAAGUGAGUUUCAGAAAGAAGAAGCGAUGGCUACAGUGAUACUGGAGAGCAUCUUUCUCAAGCGAUCCCAACAGAAAAAGAAAACAUCACCUUUAAACUUCAAGAAGCGCCUCUUUCUCUUGACUGUGAAUAAACUUUCCUAUUAUGAGUAUGACUUUGAACGUGGGAGAAGAGGCAGUAAGAAGGGUUCAAUAGAUGUUGAGAAGAUCACCUGCGUUGAAACAGUGGUUCCUGAAAAAAAUCCUCCCCCUGAAAGACAGAUUCCGAGAAGGGGUGAAGAAUCCAGUGAAAUGGAGCAGAUUUCUAGCAUUGAAAGGUUCCCUUAUCCCUUCCAGGUUGUAUAUGAUGAAGGGCCUCUUUAUGUCUUCUCCCCAACUGAAGAACUGAGGAAGCGUUGGAUUCAUCAGCUCAAAAAUGUAAUCCGGUACAACAGUGAUCUGGCACAGAAAUACCAUCCUUGCUUCUGGAUCGAUGGGCAGUAUCUCUGCUGCUCUCAGACAGCCAAAAAUGCUAUGGGCUGCCAAAUUUUGGAGAAUAGGAAUGGAAGUUUAAAACCU